rnacentral:rRNA from 1 species
GACGAACGCUUGCGGCGUGCUUAACAUAUGCAAGUCGAACGGAAAGGCCCUGCUUUUGUGGGGUGCUCGAGUGGCGAACGGGUGAGUAACACGUGAGUAACCUGCCCUUGACUUUGGGAUAACUUCAGGAAACUGGGGCUAAUACCGGAUAGGAGCUCCUGCUGCAUGGUGGGGGUUGGAAAGUUUCGGCGGUUGGGGAUGGACUCGCGGCUUAUCAGCUUGUUGGUGGGGUAGUGGCUUACCAAGGCUUUGACGGGUAGCCGGCCUGAGAGGGUGACCGGCCACAUUGGGACUGAGAUACGGCCCAGACUCCUACGGGAGGCAGCAGUGGGGAAUAUUGCACAAUGGGCGGAAGCCUGAUGCAGCAACGCCGCGUGCGGGAUGACGGCCUUCGGGUUGUAAACCGCUUUCGCCUGUGACGAAGCGUGAGUGACGGUAAUGGGUAAAGAAGCACCGGCUAACUACGUGCCAGCAGCCGCGGUGAUACGUAGGGUGCGAGCGUUGUCCGGAUUUAUUGGGCGUAAAGGGCUCGUAGGUGGUUGAUCGCGUCGGAAGUGUAAUCUUGGGGCUUAACCCUGAGCGUGCUUUCGAUACGGGUUGACUUGAGGAAGGUAGGGGAGAAUGGAAUUCCUGGUGGAGCGGUGGAAUGCGCAGAUAUCAGGAGGAACUCCAGUGGCGAAGGCGGUUCUCUGGGCCUUUCCUGACGCUGAGGAGCGAAAGCGUGGGGAGCGAACAGGCUUAGAUACCCUGGUAGUCCACGCUGUAAACGGUGGGUACUAGGUGUGGGGUCCAUUCCACGGGUUCCGUGCCGUAGCUAACGCUUUAAGUACCCCGCCUGGGGAGUACGGCCGCAAGGCUAAAACUCAAAGGAAUUGACGGGGCCCCGCACAAGCGGCGGAGCAUGCGGAUUAAUUCGAUGCAACGCGUAGAACCUUACCUGGGUUUGACAUGGAUCGGGAGUGCUCAGAGAUGGGUGUGCCUCUUUUGGGGUCGGUUCACAGGUGGUGCAUGGCUGUCGUCAGCUCGUGUCGUGAGAUGUUGGGUUAAGUCCCGCAACGAGCGCAACCCUUGUUCACUGUUGCCAGCACGUUAUGGUGGGGACUCAGUGGAGACCGCCGGGGUCAACUCGGAGGAAGGUGGGGAUGACGUCAAGUCAUCAUGCCCCUUAUGUCCAGGGCUUCACGCAUGCUACAAUGGCUGGUACAGAGAGUGGCGAGCCUGUGAGGGUGAGCGAAUCUCGGAAAGCCGGUCUCAGUUCGGAUUGGGGUCUGCAACUCGACCUCAUGAAGUCGGAGUCGCUAGUAAUCGCAGAUCAGCAACGCUGCGGUGAAUACGUUCCCGGG